rnacentral:tRNA from 1 species
AUAAGACUGCGGUAAUCGAAACCGCGACCUCGUGCAUGCUAAGCACGCGCUCUACCAACUGAGCUAACCCCCC